UGGGGAAUAUUGGGCAAUGGGCGAAAGCCUGACCCAGCGACGCCGCGUGGGUGAUGAAGGCCUUCGGGUUGUAAAGCCCUUUCGUGUGGAAAGAACACUCCCGCGACUAAUACUCGCGGGAAUUGACGGUACCCGGAAAACAAGCCAAGGCUAACUACGUGCCAGCAGCCGCGGUAAUACGUAGGGUGCUAGCGUUACUCGGAAUCAUUGGGCGUAAAGGGUGUGUAGGUGGAUUAGUAAGUCAGAUGUGAAAGCCUUGGGCUCACCCCAAGAAGUGCAUUUGAUACUGCUAUUCUAGAGUUCGGGAGAGGGAGGCAGAAUUCCAGGUGUAGAGGUGAAAUCCGUAGAUAUCUGGAGGAAUACCGGAGGCGAAGGCGGCCUCCUGGACCGAUACUGACACUGAAACACGAAAGCGUGGGGAGCAAACA
rnacentral:rRNA from 1 species